CGGGGAGACCGCGUUUAGAGGAUCAGUGGCGGCGGGCCCGCGCGGUGCCCGCGACUAGCAGCGAGAUGUCCUGGCCCCUUCCAGGUUUGGAGAUGGCCUUGGGAGAGCAACCUCCGGACCUCAGCAGUGUGAGGAUGACAACAGUACCCUGUGGUGCUGUCCCCACUCAGGGUUUCUCUCUGUAGCCCUGACUGUCCUGGAACUCACUCUGCAGACCAGGCUGUCCUCAAGCUCAGAGAUCUACCUGCCUCUGCCUCUGAAGUACUGGGAUUAAAGAUGCAGAGGCCUCCCAGAGAAGUGUGAAGGAAUGGGCCUUAACCAGGGUUGAAGAAAGAAAGUGAAGAAGGGGAGAGCCCAAGGAAAGGUGGGGACAGUAGGAACUUUUGUUUACACUGGUCUACUACUCAUGUAUCGUAUGCUAUAAUCUCCAAAUUCCACAUUUAUUGUAGCUGUCUGCAGUGUGUAUGCCCCGGCCGCAUGCUGCUUGGCUAAAAAAGUGUUAAAUAAAACUGUAAGAAACGCUA
ensembl:lincRNA Lhx1os LIM homeobox 1, opposite strand